CGCAGCCCAAGUGGUGGUCAUUAUUAUUGAGCCUAAAGCGUCCGUAGCCGGACUCGUAAAUCCUUGGGUAAAUCGGGCAGCUUAACUGUCCGAAUUCCGAGGAGACUGCGAGUCUUGGGACCGGGAGAGGUUAGAGGUACUCCAGGGGUAAGGGCUAAAUCUUGUAAUCCUUGGGGGACCACCAGUGGCGAAGGCGUCUAACUAGAACGGAUCCGACGGUAAGGGACGAAACCCUGGGGCGCAAACGG
rnacentral:rRNA from 1 species